rnacentral:rRNA from 1 species
GUCCACGCCGUAAACUAUGACUACUCGAUAUUGGCGAUACACUGUCAGUGUCUAAGCGAAAGUGAUAAGUAGUCCACCUGGGGAGUACGUUGGCAACAAUGAAACUCAAAGGAAUUGACGGGGGCCCGCACAAGCGGUGGAGCAUGUGGUUUAAUUCGAUGAUACGCGAGGAACCUUACCAGGGCUUAAAUGUAUUCUGACAGAUCUGGAAACAGAUUUUUCUUCGGACAGAUUACAAGGUGC